GAGGCUGUCGCUCAGUGGUAGAGCGCAUGCUUAGCACGCACGAGGUCCUGGGUUCAAUCCCCAGUACCUCCA
rnacentral:tRNA from 1 species